ensembl:miRNA mdo-mir-12363 mdo-mir-12363
UCCUCUUUGAUUGUCUGUUGUAUAAUAAAUGUAUGAUGGAAGCAAAAGACAAUCACAGGGGCAGC